rnacentral:rRNA from 1 species
GACGAACGCUGGCGGCGUGCCUAAUACAUGCAAGUCGAACGCAGUGGGGACGGGUGAGUAACACGUGGGUAACCUCCCAUCAGAGGGGAUAACACUUGGAAACAGGCGCUAAACCGAUAGUGAUGGAUGGACCCGCUGUGCAUUAGCUAGUUGGGGGGGUAACGGCUCACCAAGGCCACGAGCCAUAGCCGACCUGAGAGUGGUAUCGGCCACACUGGGACUGAGACACGGCCCAGACUCCUACGGGAGGCAGCAGUAGGGAAUCUUGGUCAAUGGGCGCAAGUCGGACCGAGCAACGCCGCGUGUGUGAAGAAGGUUUUCGGAUCGUAAAGCUCUGUUGGUAGGGAAGCGUUAUCUAACCAGAAAGCCACGGCUAACUACGUGCCAGCAGCCGCGGUAAUUC